GUGUCAGCAGCCGCGGUAAUACGUAGGGUGCAAGCGUUAAUCGGAAUUACUGGGCGUAAAGCGUGCGCAGGCGGUUUUGUAAGUCUGUCGUGAAAGCCCCGGGCUCAACCUGGGAAUUGCGAUGGAGACUGCAAGGCUUGAAUCUGGCAGAGGGGGGUAGAAUUCCACGUGUAGCAGUGAAAUGCGUAGAGAUGUGGAGGAACACCGAUGGCGAAGGCAGCCCCCUGGGUCAAGAUUGACGCUCAUGCACGAAAGCGUGGGGAGCAAACAGGAUUAGAUACCCUGGUAGUCCACGCCCUAAACGAUGUCUACUAGUUGUCGGGUUUUAAUUAACUUGGUAACGCAGCUAACGCGUGAAGUAGACCGCCUGGGGAGUACGGUCGCAAGAUUAAAACUCAAAGGAAUUGACGGAAUCCCGCGGCCA
rnacentral:rRNA from 1 species